rnacentral:rRNA from 1 species
UACGUAGGGGGCAAGCGUUGUCCGGAUUUAUUGGGCGUAAAGCGCGUGUAGGCGGCUAGGUAGGUCCGCUGUGAAAACUCGAGGCUCAACCUCGAGACGUCGGCGGAAACCCCCUAGCUAGAGUCCGGAAGAGGAGAGUGGAAUUCCUGGUGUAGCGGUGAAAUGCGCAGAUAUCAGGAAGAAUAUCCGUGGCGAAGGCGGCUCUCUGGGACGGUACUGACGCUGAGACGCGAAAGCGUGGGGAGCAAACAGG